UCCAUGAUUUCUAAGUGGGAGAACUUGCAAAAUCGCAGGGUGUUCAAAUACUUAUUUUCCUCACUGUACCUCGAGUGGCUAAAAGAGCUGGAUUGAGCCAAUCUGAUGUACGAUGGAGAAGAGAGGCACAGAGAUGGAAAAUUCCCACAGUAGAAAAGAAAGAGAAAUGAAACACUGUCUUUGCACUGGAGUGUUAGUUGCAUUUGUUCAAAAAUGCAGCAUGAAGAGAAUGUCAAGUACCAGACAGGACAAACCACAGAGCAGAAAAUGGGCACUGGGUUGUAGACAAAAAGUCUUUAUUUCAGACUGACAACCACAAAACAAUGAAGUCACAAUUGCUUUGAUGGUUUGGUGAUGUGAUAAUCAGCUGACAGUUCUUCCUGGAGCAAUGAGAUGGCACCCCCGAGUAGCCUGACAAACCUCCUCCAAAAGGCCAACAACAAACUCCUGUGGAGGAUUCUGUAGUACCUGAACCAGUUUCCCUCUUCAAUAAAUGAUCCCACGUAGAAGCAGCAGAGAGCACUGUAGAGUCCACACAAGAAAAAAAAAAAAUCUUAUCUAAUAUCAGAGUCCCAAAAAACAAACAACAAAACUUCAGUCUUCACUAUUUCCUGUCAAACAGGUCACAGCUGGUGAAGUUUAAUUCUGUCCUCUCUGAUACUGAUACUCUGAAGCAUAACUGGAGCCCCUCAGUUUUUAUUUACAUUGUAUACCAAUGACUGUCAGCUCCCAGCCAAGCCAGUAUGUUGUUAAAUUUUCAGACGACUCUGUAAUACUUAGUCUGCUAAAAACUAAUACCAAUUUAAGUAGUCACAAAUCUGGAGUGGACAGGUUUGUGGACUGGUGUGAUGCCCACCAACUGCAGAUGGUAACUUCCCAGUUCGUCUACUCCCAUUUUGUGUACUCUCAGGAAUGUAGAGUUGUGCCAUUUCGUCUACUCUUGUAUUUUCCUGAUUUUUUCUUAAUUAUUUACAAGAUUUUGAAUUAUAAGAGGUUGUAAUGAUUAGAUAAACCAAAAAUACCCCCAGUUUUCAAAAUAUUUUUUUCAGCAUUUUUAUUUAGAGUUAGGGUUAAAGGUUAAGCCCCGUUUACACAUAGACGGUAAGAUCUCCCGGAAGCGUCCCGGAAGAGAUUUUGGCCCCUCUGGGCCGUCUUAGGGAUCAAACGCCGUUGUUAACACCGGCGCACGGGGUGUGGUUUAGUUCUGGCUUCACCGGGAAUCGUCGAAAAAAUUAUUCAACAUGUCAAAUAAUUCCGGGAGCGCUCCCGGAGAAUUGGCGUGACGACAGAGACAAUGCGAACAACGGCGUUUGAUACUUUUUAAUCGCCGUUUCAUCCUGCCCCUUCCUGUAGUGCUGCAGUUUCAACUGCCAUUAUCGGCGGCCGGCAGUGUAUCCCUAACCAACGGCGUAUAAAACGGCAAUAGAGCCCACAUCGGCGUACACAACUGCGUUUUAGCCGGCGACACAGCCAGACCAAACGGCGGCGCUAGCGGACAUUACGCCGUUCUAAACGCCACCCCCCCCGGUUAAAACGGCGUUCCAAACGGCUGCCAGGCGGCGGUCAGUAUAAAAAUGCUAGCGCGCUACAUGCAGGCCUCUUGACCAGAAGAAGACGGAAGAAGAACGACGCUCCAGGUAUUUUUGCAUCGAUAAACAACGCUCCAGAUAUUUUUGCAGAGGAAAGAACGAGGCCCCAGAUAUUUCGACCGAGAAAAGAACGAGGCCCCAGAUAUUUCGACCGAGAAAAAAACGACGCUCCAGAUAUUUUGGCAGAGAAAAGAACAACGCUCCAGAUAUUUUGGCAGAGAAAGAAUGAGGGUCCAUUUGAUUUUUGCAGAGAUGGCUCCAAAGAAAGUUUGCAGCGGCAAGGAAUUGAAGAAGGGAACCAAGAGGUUUGUUUCACAAGCAGUGGAGCAACAUGUUGAGGAGGUGGAAAGGGAGGAAGAGGCUGUGGAUGAUCUCCCUCCCCCUGCAGAGGCCUGUAUUCCUGCUGCUCCAGCUGCUCCAGCUCUUGAGCCAGGUGAAUCCAGACAGCAGCCUGCUGGGGAAGAAGUGCACGUCCGGGCCAAGAAGGAGAAACUGCAGCUGACGAAGGGAAGGAGGACGAACAGUUGGUUGCAGACUUCUUCAACAGCCAUCCCGUGUUCUGGGACACAUUUUAGCAUAUUUUUCAUAUCUUGUUACUAUCAUGUCUCUCCACUGCACUUUCACUUUUCAAUAAUGCAUUUUCUGAUUUCUGUUCAACAGGGAUACCCAGCAGAAGGGUCGCAUGCUGGGAGACCUUGCCAGGACCCUCGCCACCACCUGCACGGCCCUGCAGACUUGAGUCCAUGAGGACAGCAUUCGGGAAGCUGUCCAAGCCCCAUCCUUCCGGCGCCCAACCGAAAGCUGUCACGGAGAAGGAGGCAUGGGUCCUGAGGAACUUCAGCUGCUGUGGGAAGCAGAUCAAGCGCCAAAGGAGGAAGGUUGGGGAUUUACCCACUGCUUCUGCCUCGACCUCCAGGAAGUGCGCCACCCCACCUUCGCCCAUCACCAGUGAUGAAGAGUCUGCUCCAUUACAGGUCUUCAAUGAUGAUGAGGUGUCCGAUGCAUCCACCCCCAAGAGGGACAGCAAGGGAGGGCCCUUCAAGGCAAGGUAGAGGGUUUCGGACACAGAGGAACUACUGGGUAAACUGACUGACCAGAUGAUGGGCAGAAUGGAGUCCCUGGAGGCUGCCCAUGCCUGAGUUGGACCCCAGAACCCUGCAGACCAAAGGUCGCAGAUGAGGUGGGCCGUCUUCAAGUCCUGGUAUGAGCAGUCCCUAACCAUGGAUGACAUACAGUUCCUGGAUUUGGAGGCGGUGGUGAAUGCUGAGCUGCACAAGUUCCGCAGGUGGCAGGCGAUGCAGCAGCUUUCAGUAGGACCACGACCAGCACCACCGGCGUCACCCAUGGCACCACAACCCCCACUUACUGCACCACACCCACACUCAGUGAGCUCAACAUACCUAGGCUUAGGGCCCACGUCGUACCCGCACUACUACGCGAGUCAAGGCGGCCCUACCUAUAUGUACUCCAGCCCUUCCAAGGGCUAUUGGAACGUCGGACCACCACCCACCCACGGCCAGCAGCACCCAGUACCAGUCUCCCAGUACCAUACCCUCCACAAUGUGUCAUCCACACACCAGCCCGGGACAUCUAACCAGCCGGCUGCAUCCACCAGCGCAGCGAAUGACAGCCUUGACAUUCCGGAGUUUUCCACCUCAGGCGUGGAAAACAUGUUGAAGGAUAUCGGCAAGGGGCUGAAUAUCAG